GAUGAACGCUGGCGGCGUGCCUAAUACAUGCAAGUCGAGCGAACGGACGAGAAGCUUGCUUCUCUGAUGUUAGCGGCGGACGGGUGAGUAACACGUGGAUAACCUACCUAUAAGACUGGGAUAACUUCGGGAAACCGGAGCUAAUACCGGAUGAUAUUUUGAACCGCAUGGUUCAAAAGUGAAAGACGGUCUUGCUGUCACUUAUAGAUGGAUCCGCGCUGCAUUAGCUAGUUGGUAAGGUAACGGCUUACCAGGGCAACGAUGCAUAGCCGACCUGAGAGGGUGAUCGGCCACACUGGAACUGAGACACGGUCCAGACUCCUACGGGAGGCAGCAGUAGGGAAUCUUCCACAAUGGGCGAAAGCCUGACGGAGCAACGCCGCGUGAGUGAUGAAGGUCUUCGGAUCGUAAAACUCUGUUAUUAGGGAAGAACAUAUGUGUAAGUAACUGUGCACAUCUUGACGGUACCUAAUCAGAAAGCCACGGAUAACUACGU
rnacentral:rRNA from 1 species